AUAAGAACAAUUAGUGACAUACAAAGAUGUUCAAAACUUAAUGUUUAUAAAAAAGUAAAAUUAUAAAACAGUAUGUUAAAAUAUGAUCAUAUAAAAAUCAAAUCAUGACAGAAAACAAAAUGCUAACAAUGGGUGACUUAUGUUGGAUAAAUAAUGUUAUUUUUAUUUCCUUAUCUAUACAAUCUGAAUUUUAGAUAAUAUUUCACAUACUUUUAGUUUUGAAAAUGUUACUUUACUUGAUUUGGUAAGAAUAUAGUGAUAGCCUUUCACUUAAUUCACCUUCAUGUCUACUAUGAUUAUGUCGUUAGUCAUCAAAGUUAUAGAAUACCAUAAUAAUUCACAAGGUCUAAUUAUUAAGUAUAAAUGAUUAAUAAUAACCUGUUCUAUCAAGCUAAGAAUAUAAAAUUAAAUACGAUAUCCAGCCUCUUCUCUAAGUUUUAUAAAUUAUCUCUUCUUCUAAUGUGACCCAAAUACUCAUAUCCAUGAAGACGAUAAAAUCAGAAAGGAACUUGCUUUCCAAUUAAUGUUUUCUCACAUGAUAAUCACUCUGGGUUCCAUUGUAUGACAGAUAGUUAUUUAUCCAUAUCUACUAUUUACUUUGAACUAUAGGCCAACUUAGGCUGACAACUGUGGAAGUCCAAAGAAUAUAAGUAAGAGUGGGUAUCAAGAGGAAAUCUACCAGAAUAUCAGCUUGAAGGAAAGCUAAAGAAUAAAUGUUAAGUGUCCUCUGUGUGUGUGUGUGUGUGUGUGUGUGUGUGUGUGUGUGUAUGAGAGAGAGAGAGAGAGAGAGAGAUUUGGGGAAAGGGUGCCCCUUGACAUAUAAAAGAUGCUCAUUUCCAUCUCACUAUUUGCCCCACAAGGCUCCAAAGCCUCCCAGAUCACGAGGCUCAAGUGCUCAUUCAUCACAUUCUAGAAAUUCCGAAGCAGGCUGCUCAGAAAAUCCUCACACAAUUUAGCAAUAUUCCCAAGAAUUACACCAAUCUGGCCCUUGAGGUUCUCCUUAUUCAGGUUUGGUUUCCUGAAAUCAAAAGCCCACCACAAACCAAAAGCAAAACCUAUUUCUACUCCC
rnacentral:lncRNA from 1 species